rnacentral:rRNA from 1 species
CAGCAGUGGGGAAUAUUGCACAAUGGGGGAAACCCUGAUGCAGCGACGCCGCGUGAGUGAAGAAGUAUUUCGGUAUGUAAAGCUCUAUCAGCAGGGAAGAAGAAUGACGGUACCUGACUAAGAAGCCCCGGCUAACUACGUGCCAGCAGCCGCGGUAAUACGUAGGGGGCAAGCGUUAUCCGGAUUUACUGGGUGUAAAGGGAGCGUAGACGGCAAUGCAAGUCUGAAGUGAAAGGCCGGGGCUCAACCCCGGGACUGCUUUGGAAACUGUGUAGCUGGAGUACAGGAGAGGUAAGUGGAAUUCCUAGUGUAGCGGUGAAAUGCGUAGAUAUUAGGAGGAACACCAGUGGCGAAGGCGGCUUACUGGACUGUAACUGACGUUGAGGCUCGAAAGCGUGGGGAGCAAACAGGAUUAGA